rnacentral:rRNA from 1 species
AUUUAUGGAUGUACCACCCCAAAUACACCUUAUCCCCUUUGAUCUUAGAAGCCAAGCAGGGUCUGGCCUGAUUAGUACUUGGAUGGAAGAGAGCAAAGCUGUGAGUA